AUUCCUGCGGAAGGAUCAUUAUUAAAAAAAUUAAUGGAGUGCACUUUAUUGUGGCUUCAAUUCUUUUUUUUUUUCUUCACCCUUACAAAACCCAAAACUGUUAUGUGUACCUUUUGGUAUAGCAUUCCAGUAGUACGCAUCAUGUGGAUUUAUUCACAAGUUGCAUUAACAACCUUUAUAAGUGACCUUUUUAACUAUAUGAUGUUUUAGGAAUGUAAACCCCCUUAAGUUAUAUAUAACUUUUAACAAUGGAUCUCUUGGCUCUCACAUCGAUGAAGAACACAGUGAAAUGUGAUAAGUAAUGUGAAUUGCAGAAUUCAGUGAAUCAUCGAAUCUUUGAACGCACCUUGCACCUUUUGGUUAUUCCAAAAGGUACGCCUGUUUGAGUGUCAUGAAAACCUCUCAUUCCAAUUCUUAUUAUUAUAUAUAAGGGUUGUGAUAUGGAUGUUGAGUGCUGCCGUAAUUUGGCUCACUUUAAAUAUAUAAGUACUUUUAUUGAAGAAAUAAAUGGAUAUUUACUCAGUGUAAUAUUAACUAUUCAUUGAGGAGUGUCUCAUAGUCAUUUACUUGACUUUGUGCAGCCAUUUGACCCUUUAAUAAAUAGCUUCCUAACCGUACAUUUACAUUUAUUAUUUGGACCUCAAAUCAGGUGGGACUACCCGCUGAACUUAAAU
rnacentral:rRNA from 1 species